AUGGCUUCCAACGGGAGCAUGUUGGCCAUGAUCAUCGCGUGCGCGCUCCUCCUCCUCCUCGCCGGCAGCACGUGCCACGCCGCCCGCAACCUGGCCGACACGACGCCGGCAGCCGCCGCUCCGGCUGCUAGCGCCGUCCCUGGACUGCCGGCCGUGCCGACCUUACCCGCCGUGCCCACGGACACGGUCACCCUGAUGCCACCCAUGCCGUCGGUCAGCCUCCCCACCGUGCCGCAGGUGACCCUGCCGCCCAUGCCGGCCAUCGUCGUGCCCAAGACGGUGCUGCCGCCGAUGCCCAAGGUCACCCUCCCCACAGUGACGAUGGCACCUAUGCCCGCGAUUGUCGUGCCCAAGGUGACGCUGCCGCCGUUGCCCUUCGUCCCGAAUGUGACCGUGCCUAUGCCGUUUGCGGCGCCACCCCCAUCGGCGUAG
rnacentral:rRNA from 1 species